rnacentral:rRNA from 1 species
GAUCCUGGCUCAGGAUGAACGCUGGCGGCGUGCUUAACACAUGCAAGUCGAGCGAAGCACUUAGGAAAGAUUCUUCGGAUGAUUUCCUAUUUGACUGAGCGGCGGACGGGUGAGUAACGCGUGGGUAACCUGCCUCAUACAGGGGGAUAACAGUUAGAAAUGACUGCUAAUACCGCAUAAGACCACAGCACCGCAUGGUGCAGGGGUAAAAACUCCGGUGGUAUGAGAUGGACCCCGCGU